AUUGAACGCUGGCGGCAUGCUUUACACAUGCAAGUCGAACGGUAACAGGCCGCCAUGUGCUGCCGCGUGGCGAACGGGUGGGUAAUGCAUCGGAACGUGCCCGGUCGUGGGCUAUCACGACUCGAAGGAGUAGCUAAUACCGCAUACGAUCUAUGGGUGAAAUCGUGGGUCCGUAAGGCCUCGCGCGAUUGGAGCGGCCUAUCUCAGAUUCGGUAGUUGGUGGGGUAAUGGCUCACCAAGCCAACGAUCUGUACCUGGUCUGAGAGGACGACCAGCCACACUGGGACUGAGACACGGCCCAGACUCCUACGGGAGGCAGCAGUGGGGAAUUUUGGACAAUGGGCGCAAGCCUGAUCCAGCAAUGCCGCGUGCAGGAAGAAGGCCUUCGGGUUGUAAACUGCUUUUGUACGGAACGAAACGGCUCUGGUUAAUACCCGGAGAUAAUGACGGUACCGUAAGAAUAAGCACCGGCUAACUACGUG
rnacentral:rRNA from 1 species